rnacentral:rRNA from 1 species
UACGUAGGAUGCUAGCGUUGUUCGGAAUUACUGGGCGUAAAGAGUACGUAGGCGGUUAUAUAAGCUUGAUAUUAAAGACUAAGGCUUAACUUUAGGAAUGUAUCAAGAACUGUAUAACUAGAGACUAAUAGGGGAUGCUGGAAUUACCAGUGUAGCGGUGAAAUGCGUAGAUAUUGGUAAGAACACCUGUGGCGAAAGCGAGCAUCUGGGUUAGUACUGACGCUGAGGUACGAAAGCGUGGGGAGCAAACAGG